rnacentral:lncRNA from 1 species
AAAAAAGUAAAAAUGAAAACAUAUGGAAAAAAAAAAGCAAAAAGAAGGAAAAUUGCAAAGGGAAAAAGUUAUUAAAAAUUUACAAAGUAAAAAAAUAAAAAUAAACAAAGUAAGAAAAUAAAAAAUUAGGGAAUCAAAAAAUAUAAAAAGACAAAAUGAAUAAAAAUUUCAAAUAUAAAAAGAAAGUGCACAAAAAAAGAAGUUUGAGGUUUUAAAAUUACAAAGAAGAAAUAAAAAAAGGUGUGAACAAAAAGAUUUAAGAAAAAAAUAACAAAUGAAAAUAUAAAAUAUAUAAAAAAAAUAUUUGAGAAAAAAAAUGAGAAAAAGAAGAAAAAAAUAAAAAAUGAAGAGGCAAAAAUAUGAAAUAAAACAAAAGAAAAAAAUACAAAAAAGGACAAAAAUUGAAUAAAAAUUUCAAAAAUGAAAUGGAAUGACAAAAUGAAAAAAAAUUAGUUUAAAAAAUACAAAAAAAUUGAAAAACAUAUAAGUCCUAACAAUAUAAAAUUCAGACAAAAAAUUAAAAAAGAAAAAAGUUAAUGCAAAAUAAAAAAAAGUAUGAGAAUUUAAAAAUGCAAAUAAGAAAUGAAAGGAAAUUUGUGGAAAAAAAAGAGAAGCAAGAAAAGACAAAAGAUUUGGAAUAAAAAUAGAAAAAUAAAAUUUUUAAAACAACGAAAAAAUGAAAGCAUAUGAAAAAAAGUAAAAAGAAGGAAAUUGUGAAGGGAAAAAGUUAUUAAAAAUUACAAAGUUGAAAAAAAUAAAUUAAGAGAAAAAAUUAAAUAAAAUACCCAGAAAGGAAAAAUAAAAAUAAACAAAGUAAGAAAAUAAAAAAUUAGCGAAGCAAAAAAAUAUAAAAAGACAAAUGAAUAAAAAUUUCAAAUAUAAAAUGGAAAAAACUUUUAGUUUAGAAUGUAGAAAGAAAAACAAAAAAAAAAAACAAAUAGAGGAAAAAGAUAUAAAAUAUGAAAGAUGAAAAAUAAAAUAAAAGAAGUUUGAGGUUUUAAAAUUAUAAAGAAGAAAUAAAAAAAAGGUGUGAACAAAAAGAUUUAAGAAAAAAAUAAAAAAUGAAAAUGCAAAAUAUAUAAAAUAAAAUUUGAGAAAAAGAAGAAAAAAUAAAAAAUGAAGAGGCAAAAAUAUGAAAAAAAAAUAAAAAGAAAAAAAUUUAUAGAAAAUUUUAAAACAAAGAAAAAAGUGAACAAAAAAAAUGAAAGCACAUAAAAAAAAGUAAAAAAAAGAAGAAAAUUUGAAAGGAGAAAAAGUUAAUGAAAAAUUAUAAAAAUGCAAUAGAAAAUAACCAAGAAUGAUAAAAGAAAAAAAGAUAGAAAAAUAAAAAAUUCCAAAACUUUAUAAAAAUUUAUGAAAUUAUAAAUAAAGAAAGAAAAUUAAAGCAAAAGAAAAAAGAUAAAUAAAGCACAAAAAACAAAAAUACUACAAAAAAUAUAAAAAGUAAGAAAAUGAAAAAGGACAAAAAUUGAAUAAAAAUUUCAAAAAUGAAAUGGAAUGACAAAAUGAAAAAAAUUAGUUUAAAAAAUACAAAAAUUGAAAAACAUAUAAGUUCUAACAAUAUAAAAAGUUUGAGAAUUUAAAAACACAAAUAAGAAAUGAAAGGAAAUUUAUGGAAAAAAAAAAAGAAUUGGAAUAAAAAAUAGAAAAAUAAAAUUUUUAAAACGACGAAAAAUUAAAAUAAGAAAAAAAAUUAAAGCAAAAGAAAAAGAUAAAUAAAGCAUGAAAAAAAAAACAAAAAUACAACAAAAAAUUAUAAAAGGUAAGAAAAUGAAAGAGGACAAAAAAUGAAUAAAAAUUUCAAAAAUGAAAUGGAAUGACAAAAUGAAAAUAAAAUUAGUUUAAAAAAUAAAAAAAAUUGAAAAACAUAUAAGACCUAACAAUAUAAAAAGUCAGACAAAAAAUUAAAAAAGAGAAAAGUUAAUGCAAAAUAAAAAAAAAGUAUGAGAAUUUAAAAGCGCAAAUAAGAAAUGAAAGGAAAUUUGAGGAAAAAAAGAGACAAAAGAUUUGGAAUAAAAAAUAGAAAAAUAGAAAAUUUUAAAACAACAAAAAAAAUUAAAACAAGUAAAAAUGAAAGCUUAUGAAAAAAAAAAGCAAAAAGAAGGCAAAUUAUGAAGGGAAAAAGUUAUUAAAAAAUUACAAAGUAGAAAAAAAAGAAAAUAAAAAAUAAAUUAAGAGAAAAAAUUAAAUAAAAUACCAAAAAAGGAAAAAUAAAAAUAAACAAAGUAAGAAAAUAAAAAAUUAGCGAAUCAAAAAAUAUAAAAAGACAAAAUGAAUAAAAAUUUCAAAUAUAAAAUGAAAAAAACUAUUGGUUCAGAAUGUACAAAGAAAAAUAAAAAAAAAUAUAACAAACAGAGGAAAAAGAUAUAAAAUAUGAAAGAUGAAAAAUAAAAUAAAAGAAAGUGCACAAAAAAAGAAGUUUGAGGUUUUAAAACUAUAAAGAAGAAAUAAAAAAAGGUGUGAACAAAAAGAUUUAAGAAAGAAAAAUGAAAAUACAAAAUAUAUAAAAUAAAAUUUGAGAAAAAGAAGAAAAAAAUAAAAAAUGAAGAGGCAAAAAUAUGAAAUAAAAGAAAAAGAAAAAAAUUUAUAGAAAAUUUUAAAACAAAGAAAAAAGUGAACAAAAAAGAAUGAUGGCAUAUAAAAAAAAAGUAAAAAAAAAGAAGAAAAAUUUGGAAGGAGAAAAAGUUAAUGAAAAAAAUAUAAAAAUGCAAUAGAAAAUAACCAAGAAUGAUAAAAGAAAAAAAGAUAAAAAAUUAAAAAUUCCAAAACUUUAUAAAAAUUUAUGAAAUUAUGAAUAAAGAAAGAAAAUAAAAUAAGAAAAAAAAUUAAAGCAAAAGAAAAAAGAUAGAUAAAGCACGAAAAAAGAAAAAAAAACAAAAAAUUAUAAAAAGUAAGAAAAUGAAAAAGGACAAAAAUUGAAUAAAAAUUUCAAAAAUGAAAUGGAAUGACAAAAUGAAAAAAAAAUUAGUUUAAAAAAUACAAAAAAUUAAAAAACAUAUAAGACCAAACAAUCUAAAAAGUCUGACAAAAAAUUAAAAAAGAGAAAAGUUAAUGCAAAAUAAAAAAAAAGUAUGAGAAUUUAAAAACGCAAAUAAGAAAUGAAAGGAAAUUUGUGGAAAAAAAAGAAAAGACAAAAGAUUUGGAAUAAAAAAGAGAAAAAUAAAAAUUUUUAAAACAGCGAAAAAAUUAAAAAAAGUAAAAAUGAAAACAUAUGAAAAAAAAAAAGCAAAAAGAAGGAAAAUUGCAAAGGGAAAAAGUUAUUAAGAAAUUUCAAAGUAGAAAAAAAUAAAUUAAGAGAAAAAAUUAAAUAAAAUACCAAAAAGAGAAAAAAUAAAAAAUUAGCGAAUCAAAAAAAUAUAAAAAGACAAAAUGAAUAAUCAAACAUAAAAUGGAAAAAACUUUUAGUUUAUAAUUUACAAAGAAAAAGAAAAAAAAAUAACAAAUAGAGGAAAAAGAUAUAAAAUACGAAAGAUGAAAAAUAAAAUAAAAGAAAGUGCACAAAAAAAUAAGUUUGAGGUUUUAAAGUUAUAAAGAAGAAAAAAAAAGGUGUGAACAAAAAGAUUUAAGAAAAAAUAAAAAAUGAAAAUACAAAAUAUAUAAAAUAAAAUUUGAGAAAAAGAAGAAAAAAAUAAAGAAUGAAGAGGCAAAAAUAUGAAAUAAAACAAAAAGAAAAAAUUUAUAGAAAAUUUUAAAACAAAGAAAAACCUGAACGAAAAAGAAUGAAAGCACAUAAAAAAAGGUAAAAAAAGAAGAAAAAUUAUAAAAAUGCAACAGAAAAUAACCAAGAAUGAUAAAAGAAAAAAAGAUAGAAAAAUAAAAAAUUCCAAAACUUUAUAAAAAUUUAUGAAAUUAUGAAUAAAGAAAGAAAAUAAAAUAAGAAAAAAAUUAAAGCAAAGAAAAAAGAUAGAUAAAGCACGAAAAAAGAAAAAUACAACAAAAAAUUAUAAAAAGUAAGAAAAUGAAAAAGGACAAAAAUUGAAUAAAAAAUUCAAAAAUGAAAUGGAAUGACAAAAUGAAAAAAAAAUUAGUUUAAAAAAUACAAAAAAUUAAAAAACAUAUAAGACCAAACAAUCUAAAAAGUCUGACAAAAAAUUAAAAAGAGAAAAGUUAAUGCAAAAUAAAAAAAAAGUAUGAGAAUUUAAAACGCAAAUAAGAAAUGAAAGGAAAUUUGUGGAAAAAAAAGAAAAGACAAAAGAUUUGGAAUAAAAAAGAGAAAAAUAAAAUUUUUAAAACAACGAAAAAAUUAAAAAAAGUAAAAAUGAAAACAUAUGGAAAAAAAAAAGCAAAAGAAGGAAAAUUGCAAAGGGAAAAGUUAUUAAAAAUUUACAAAGUAAAAAAAUAAAAAUAAACAAAGUAAGAAAAUAAAAAUUAGGGAAUCAAAAAAUAUAAAAAGACAAAAUGAAUAAAAAUUUCAAAUAUAAAAAGAAAGUGCACAAAAAAGAAGUUUGAGGUUUUAAAAUUACAAAGAGAAAUAAAAAGGUGUGAACAAAAAGAUUUAAAGAAAAAAUAACAAAUGAAAUAUAAAAUAUAUAAAAAAAUAUUUGAGAAAAAAAUGAGAAAAAGAAGAAAAAAAUAAAAAAUGAAGAGGCAAAAAUAUGAAAUAAAACAAAAGAAAAAAAAUACAAAAAAGGACAAAAAUUGAAUAAAAAUUUCAAAAAUGAAAUGGAAUGACAAAAUGAAAAAAAAAUUAGUUUAAAAAAUACAAAAAAAUUGAAAAACAUAUAAGUCCUAACAAUAUAAAAAUUCAGACAAAAAAUUAAAAAAGAAAAAAGUUAAUGCAAAAUAAAAAAAAGUAUGAGAAUUUAAAAAUGCAAAUAAGAAAUGAAAGGAAAUUUGUGGAAAAAAAGAGACAAAAGAUUUGGAAUAAAAAAUAGAAAAAUAAAAAUUUUUAAAACAACGAAAAAAUGAAAGCAUAUGAAAAAAAAGUAAAAAGAAGGAAAUUGUGAAGGGAAAAAGUUAUUAAAAAAUUACAAAGUUGAAAAAAAAUAAAUUAAGAGAAAAAAUUAAAUAAAAUACCCAGAAAGGAAAAAUAAAAAUAAACAAAGUAAGAAAAUAAAAAAUUAGCGAAGCAAAAAAAUAUAAAAAGACAAAUGAAUAAAAAUUUCAAAUAUAAAAUGGAAAAAACUUUUAGUUUAGAAUGUAGAAAGAAAAACAAAAAAAAAAACAAAUAGAGGAAAAAGAUAUAAAAUAUGAAAGAUGAAAAAUAAAAUAAAAGAAGUUUGAGGUUUUAAAAUUAUAAAGAAGAAAUAAAAAAAGGUGUGAACAAAAGAUUUAAGAAAAAAUAAAAAAUGAAAAUGCAAAAUAUAUAAAAUAAAAUUUGAGAAAAAGAAGAAAAAAAUAAAAAAUGAAGAGGCAAAAAUAUGAAAAAAAAAUAAAAAGAAAAAAAUUUAUAGAAAAUUUUAAAACAAAGAAAAAAGUGAACAAAAAAAAAUGAAAGCACAUAAAAAAAAAGUAAAAAAAAGAAGAAAAAUUUGAAAGGAGAAAAAGUUAAUGAAAAAUUAUAAAAAUGCAAUAGAAAAUAACCAAGAAUGAUAAAAGAAAAAAAGAUAGAAAAAUAAAAAAUUCCAAAACUUUAUAAAAAUUUAUGAAAUUAUAAAUAAAGAAAGAAAAUUAAAGCAAAAGAAAAAAGAUAAAUAAAGCACAAAAAAACAAAAAUACUACAAAAAAUAUAAAAAGUAAGAAAAUGAAAAAGGACAAAAAUUGAAUAAAAAUUUCAAAAAUGAAAUGGAAUGACAAAAUGAAAAAAAUUAGUUUAAAAAAUACAAAAAAUUGAAAAACAUAUAAGUUCUAACAAUAUAAAAAGUUUGAGAAUUUAAAAACACAAAUAAGAAAUGAAAGGAAAUUUAUGGAAAAAAAAAAAGAAUUGGAAUAAAAAUAGAAAAAUAAAAUUUUUAAAACGACGAAAAAUUAAAAUAAGAAAAAAAAUUAAAGCAAAAGAAAAAAGAUAAAUAAAGCAUGAAAAAAAAAACAAAAAUACAAAAAAAAAUUAUAAAAGGUAAGAAAAUGAAAGAGGACAAAAAAUGAAUAAAAAUUUCAAAAAUGAAAUGGAAUGACAAAAUGAAAAUAAAAUUAGUUUAAAAAAUAAAAAAAAAUUGAAAAACAUAUAAGACCUAACAAUAUAAAAAGUCAGACAAAAAUUAAAAAAGAGAAAAGUUAAUGCAAAAUAAAAAAAAAAGUAUGAGAAUUUAAAAGCGCAAAUAAGAAAUGAAAGGAAAUUUGAGGAAAAAAAGAGACAAAAGAUUUGGAAUAAAAAAUAGAAAAAUAGAAAUUUUUAAAACAACAAAAAAAAUUAAAACAAGUAAAAAUGAAAGCUUAUGAAAAAAAAAGCAAAAAGAAGGCAAAUUAUGAAGGGAAAAAGUUAUUAAAAAAUUACAAAGUAGAAAAAAAGAAAAUAAAAAUAAAUUAAGAGAAAAAAUUAAAUAAAAUACCAAAAAGGAAAAAAUAAAAAUAAACAAAGUAAGAAAAUAAAAAAUUAGCGAAUCAAAAAAUAUAAAAAGACAAAAUGAAUAAAAAUUUCAAAUAUAAAAUGAAAAAAACUAUUGGUUCAGAAUGUACAAAGAAAAAUAAAAAAAAUAUAACAAACAGAGGAAAAAGAUAUAAAAUAUGAAAGAUGAAAAAUAAAAUAAAAGAAAGUGCACAAAAAAAGAAGUUUGAGGUUUUAAAACUAUAAAGAAGAAAUAAAAAAAGGUGUGAACAAAAAGAUUUAAGAAAAAAAAAUGAAAAUACAAAAUAUAUAAAAUAAAAUUUGAGAAAAAGAAGAAAAAAAUAAAAAAUGAAGAGGCAAAAAUAUGAAAUAAAAGAAAAAGAAAAAAAUUUAUAGAAAAUUUUAAAACAAAGAAAAAAGUGAACAAAAAAGAAUGAUGGCAUAUAAAAAAAAAGUAAAAAAAAGAAGAAAAAUUUGGAAGGAGAAAAAGUUAAUGAAAAAAUAUAAAAAUGCAAUAGAAAAUAACCAAGAAUGAUAAAAGAAAAAAAGAUAAAAAAAUUAAAAAUUCCAAAACUUUAUAAAAAUUUAUGAAAUUAUGAAUAAAGAAAGAAAAUAAAAUAAGAAAAAAAAUUAAAGCAAAAGAAAAAAGAUAGAUAAAGCACGAAAAAAGAAAAAAAAACAAAAAAUUAUAAAAAGUAAGAAAAUGAAAAAGGACAAAAAUUGAAUAAAAAUUUCAAAAAUGAAAUGGAAUGACAAAAUGAAAAAAAAAAUUAGUUUAAAAAAUACAAAAAAUUAAAAAACAUAUAAGACCAAACAAUCUAAAAAGUCUGACAAAAAAUUAAAAAAGAGAAAAGUUAAUGCAAAAUAAAAAAAAAGUAUGAGAAUUUAAAAACGCAAAUAAGAAAUGAAAGGAAAUUUGUGGAAAAAAAGAAAAGACAAAAGAUUUGGAAUAAAAAAGAGAAAAAUAAAAAUUUUUAAAACAGCGAAAAAAUUAAAAAAAGUAAAAAUGAAAACAUAUGAAAAAAAAAAAGCAAAAAGAAGGAAAAUUGCAAAGGGAAAAAGUUAUUAAGAAAUUACAAAGUAGAAAAAAAUAAAUUAAGAGAAAAAAUUAAAUAAAAUACCAAAAAAGGAAAAAUAAAAAAUUAGCGAAUCAAAAAAAUAUAAAAAGACAAAAUGAAUAAUCAAAUAUAAAAUGGAAAAAACUUUUAGUUUAUAAUUUACAAAGAAAAAGAAAAAAAAAAUAACAAAUAGAGGAAAAAGAUAUAAAAUACGAAAGAUGAAAAAUAAAAUAAAAGAAAGUGCACAAAAAAAUAAGUUUGAGGUUUUAAAGUUAUAAAGAAGAAAAAAAAAAGGUGUGAACAAAAAGAUUUAAGAAAAAAAUAAAAAAUGAAAAUACAAAAUAUAUAAAAUAAAAUUUGAGAAAAAGAAGAAAAAAAAAAAUGAAGAGGCAAAAAUAUGAAAAAAAAAAAAGAAAAAAUUUAUAGAAAAUUUUAAAACAAAGAAAAAUGAACAAAAAAAAUGAAAGCACAUAAAAAAAGUAAAAAAAAGAAGAAAAUUUAAAGAAAAGUUAAUGAAAAAUUAUAAAAUGCAAUAGAAAUAACAAGAAUGAUAAAAGAAAAAGAUAGAAAAUAAAAAAUUCUAAAACUUUAUAAAAUUUAUGAAAUUAUAAAUAAAGAAAGAAAAUAAAAAUACUACAAAAAACAAAAAUACUACAAAAAAAUAAAAAGUAAGAAAAUGAAAAAGGACAAAAUUGAAUAAAAAUUUCAAAAAUGAAAUGGAAUGACAAAAUGAAAAAAAUUAGUUUAAAAAAUACAAAAAAUUGAAAAACAUAAAGUUCUAACAAUAUAAAAAGUUUGAGAAUUUAAAAACACAAAUAAGAAAUGAAAGGAAAUUUAUGGAAAAAAAAAAAGAAUUGGAAUAAAAUAGAAAAAUAAAAUUUUUAAAACGACGAAAAAUUAAAAUAAGAAAAAAAUUAAAGCAAAAGAAAAAGAUAAAUAAAGCAUGAAAAAAAAAAAAAAACAAAAAAAUUAUAAAAGGUAAGAAAAUGAAAGAGGACAAAAAUGAAUAAAAAUUUCAAAAAUGAAAUGGAAUGACAAAAUGAAAAUAAAAUUAGUUUAAAAAAUAAAAAAAAAUUGAAAAAAUAUAAGACCUAACAAUAUAAAAAGUCAGACAAAAAUUAAAAAAGAGAAAAGUUAAUGCAAAAUAAAAAAAAGUAUGAGAAUUUAAAAGCGCAAAUAAGAAAUGAAAGGAAAUUUGAGGAAAAAAAGAGACAAAAGAUUUGGAAUAAAAAAUAGAAAAAUAGAAAUUUUUAAAACAACAAAAAAAUUAAAAGUAAAAAUGAAAGCUUAUGAAAAAAAAAGCAAAAAGAAGGCAAAUUAUGAAGGGAAAAAGUUAUUAAAAAAUUACAAAGUAGAAAAAAAGAAAUAAAAAUAAAUUAAGAGAAAAAAUUAAAUAAAAUACCAAAAAGGAAAAAUAAAAAACAAAGUAAGAAAAUAAAAAUUAGCGAAUCAAAAAAUAUAAAAAGACAAAAUGAAUAAAAUUUCAAAUAUAAAAUGAAAAAAACUAUUGUUCAGAAUGUACAAAGAAAAAUAAAAAAAAUAAACAAACAGAGGAAAAAGAUAUAAAAUAUGAAAGAUGAAAAAUAAAAUAAAAGAAAGUGCACAAAAAAGAAGUUUGAGGUUUUAAAACUAUAAAGAAGAAAUAAAAAAGGUGUGAACAAAAAGAUUUAAGAAAAAAAAAAUGAAAAUACAAAAUAUAUAAAAUAAAAUUUGAGAAAAAGAAGAAAAAAAUAAAAAAUGAAGAGGCAAAAAUAUGAAAUAAAAGAAAAAGAAAAAAUUUAUAGAAAAUUUUAAAACAAAGAAAAAAGUGAACAAAAAAGAAUGAUGGCAUAUAAAAAAAAGUAAAAAAAAGAAGAAAAAUUUGAAAGGAGAAAAAGUUAAUGAAAAAAUAUAAAAAUGCAAUAGAAAAUAACCAAGAAUGAUAAAAGAAAAAAAGAUAAAAAAUUAAAAAUUCCAAAACUUUAUAAAAAUUUAUGAAAUUAUGAAUAAAGAAAGAAAAUAAAAUAAGAAAAAAAAUUAAAGCAAAAGAAAAAAGAUAGAUAAAGCACGAAAAAAGAAAAAUACAACAAAAAAUUAUAAAAAGUAAGAAAAUGAAAAAGGACAAAAAUUGAAUAAAAAUUUCAAAAAUGAAAUGGAAUGACAAAAUGAAAAAAAAAUUAGUUUAAAAAAUACAAAAAAUUAAAAAACAUAUAAGACCAAACAAUCUAAAAAGUCUGACAAAAAAUUAAAAAAGAGAAAAGUUAAUGCAAAAUAAAAAAAAAGUAUGAGAAUUUAAAAACGCAAAUAAGAAAUGAAAGGAAAUUUGUGGAAAAAAAAGAAAAGACAAAAGAUUUGGAAUAAAAAAGAGAAAAAUAAAAAUUUUUAAAACAGCGAAAAAAUUAAAAAAAGUAAAAAUGAAAACAUAUGAAAAAAAAAAGCAAAAAGAAGGAAAAUUGCAAAGGGAAAAAGUUAUUAAGAAAUUACAAAGUAGAAAAAAAUAAAUUAAGAGAAAAAAUUAAAUAAAAUACCAAAAAAGGAAAAAAUAAAAAAUUAGCGAAUCAAAAAAAUAUAAAAAGACAAAAUGAAUAAUCAAAUAUAAAAUGGAAAAAACUUUUAGUUUAUAAUUUACAAAGAAAAAGAAAAAAAAAUAACAAAUAGAGGAAAAAGAUAUAAAAUACGAAAGAUGAAAAAUAAAAUAAAAGAAAGUGCACAAAAAAAUAAGUUUGAGGUUUUAAAGUUAUAAAGAAGAAAAAAAAAAAGGUGUGAACAAAAAGAUUUAAGAAAAAAAUACAAAAUAUAUAAAAUAAAAUUUGAGAAAAAGAAGAAAAAAUAAAGAAUGAAGAGGCAAAAAUAUGAAAUAAAACAAAAAGAAAAAAAUUUAUAGAAAAUUUUAAAACAAAGAAAAACCUGAACGAAAAAGAAUGAAAGCACAUAAAAAAAGGUAAAAAAAAGAAGAAAAAUUAUAAAAAUGCAACAGAAAAUAACCAAGAAUGAUAAAAGAAAAAAGAUAGAAAAAUAAAAAUUCCAAAACUUUAUAAAAUUUAUGAAAUUAUGAAUAAAGAAAGAAAAUAAAAUAAGAAAAAAAAUUAAAGCAAAAGAAAAAAGAUAGAUAAAGCACGAAAAAAGAAAAAUACAACAAAAAAUUAUAAAAAGUAAGAAAAUGAAAAAGGACAAAAAUUGAAUAAAAAAUUCAAAAAUGAAAUGGAAUGACAAAAUGAAAAAAAAAUUAGUUUAAAAAAUACAAAAAAUUAAAAAACAUAUAAGACCAAACAAUCUAAAAAGUCUGACAAAAAAUUAAAAAAGAGAAAAGUUAAUGCAAAAUAAAAAAAAAAGUAUGAGAAUUUAAAAACGCAAAUAAGAAAUGAAAGGAAAUUUGUGGAAAAAAAAGAAAAGACAAAAGAUUUGGAAUAAAAAAGAGAAAAAUAAAAAUUUUUAAAACAACGAAAAAAUUAAAAAAAGUAAAAAUGAAAACAUAUGGAAAAAAAAAGCAAAAAGAAGGAAAAUUGCAAAGGGAAAAAGUUAGUAAAAAUUUACAAAGUAAAAAAAAAUAGGGAAUCAAAAAAAAAAAAUAAACAAAGUAAGAAAAUAAAAAAUUAGGGAAUCAAAAAAUAUAAAAAGACAAAAUGAAUAAAAAUUUCAAAUAUAAAAAGAAAGUGCACAAAAAAAGAAGUUUGAGGUUUUAAAAUUACAAAGAAGAAAUAAAAAAAGGUGUGAACAAAAAGAUUUAAGAAAAAAAUAACAAAUGAAAAUAUAAAAUAUAUAAAAAAAUAUUUGAGAAAAAAAUGAGAAAAAGAAGAAAAAAAUAAAAAAUGAAGAGGCAAAAAUAUGAAAUAAAACAAAAAUACAAAAAAAGGACAAAAAUUGAAUAAAAAUUUCAAAAAUGAAAUGGAAUGACAAAAUGAAAAAAAAUUAGUUUAAAAAAUACAAAAAAAUUGAAAAACAUAUAAGUCCUAACAAUAUAAAAAUUCAGACAAAAAAUUAAAAAAGAAAAAAGUUAAUGCAAAAUAAAAAAAAGUAUGAGAAUUUAAAAAUGCAAAUAAGAAAUGAAAGGAAAUUUGUGGAAAAAAAAAGAGAAGCAAGAAAAGACAAAAGAUUUGGAAUAAAAAAUAGAAAAAUAAAAAUUUUUAAAACAAGGAAAAAAUGAAAGCAUAUGAAAAAAAAGUAAAAAGAAGGAAAUUGUGAAGGGAAAAAGUUAUUAAAAAAUUACAAAGUUGAAAAAAAAUAAAUUAAGAGAAAAAAUAAAAUAAAAUACCCAGAAAGGAAAAAUAAAAAUAAACAAAGUAAGAAAAUAAAAAAUUAGCGAAGCAAAAAAAUAUAAAAUGGAAAAAACUUUUAGUUUAGAAUGUAGAAAGAAAAAGAAAAAAAAAUAUAACAAAUAGAGGAAAAAGAUAUAAAAUAUGAAAGAUGAAAAAUGAAAUAAAAGAAAGUGCACAAAAAAAGAAGUUUGAGGUUUUAAAAUUAUAAAAAAGAAAUAAAAAAAGAUGUGAACAAAAAGAUUUAAGAAAAAAUAAAAAAUGAAAAUACAAAAUAUAUAAAAUAAAAUUUGAGAAAAAAAUGAGAAC